AGAGUUUGAUCMUGGCUCMGAACGUACGCUGGCGGCACGCCUAACACAUGCAAGUCGAACGAAGUAGCAAUACUUAGUGGCAGACGGGUGAGUAACAUGUAGGAAUCUUCCCUAUGGCCUGGAAUAACACGAGGAAACUUGUGCUAAUACCGGAUAAGUCUUUACAGAGAAAGCUUUAUGCACCAUUGGAUGAGCCUGCACUUGAUUAGUUUGUUGGUGGGGUAAUGGCCUACCAAGACUUUGAUCAAUAGCUGAUUUGAGAGGAUGAUCAGCCACAUUGGGACUGAGACACGGCCCAAACUCCUACGGGAGGCAGCAGUGGGGAAUCUUGCACAAUGGAGGAAACUCUGAUGCAGCGAUGCCGCGUGAGUGAAGAAGGCCUUUGGGUUGUAAAGCUCUUUCGUCGGGGAAGAAAAUGACUGUACCCGAAUAAGAAGGUCCGGCUAACUUCGUGCCAGCAGCCGCGGUAAUACGAAGGGACCUAGCGUAGUUCGGAAUUACUGGGCUUAAAGAGUUCGUAGGUGGUUGAAAAAGUUGGUGGUGAAAUCCCAGAGCUUAACUCUGGAACUGCCAUCAAAACUUUUCAGCUAGAGUUUGAUAGAGGAAAGCAGAAUUUCUAGUGUAGAGGUG
rnacentral:rRNA from 1 species